rnacentral:lncRNA from 1 species
CCUCCGCGCUCGGGGCGUGCCGGGGCGGGCGGGCGCCGGGUACCGGGCGGGCUCCUCGCACCGGCCGGGGCUCGACGCCGCUCCCCGGCAGCCCCGCGGCCGGCGCCGGGACGCGGCUUUUUUCUUUUCUUUUCUUUUCUUUUUUUUUUUUUUACAGGAAAAAACAGCGUUGCUCGCGCUGCGCCCGACGACUUCCUAUUCUGCCGCAUCCCUGCGGCCGUGCCCUCUUCAUCGCGGGGCGGCUCGGGCCGGGGCAGCCCCGGCACUGACUGCGGCCGCGGUGGAACCGCUCACGACGAGGGCUUCGACGCGAUCCUGGUUUCUUCGGAGCCCACGCGCCGGCAAGGAUUGAAAUUUCCCGGCUUGGCAGCUCGCGCUGGUGUCUUUUGGGAAGAGUUCGCGUGCUUGGCGGUGGUUUUGUUUCUGCGAGUUGUCAAAGGUAAAACAAAAACAAGGAAUGACUGUGCAGCUACCAGAUCUGCAGUUGUCUCUAGUAAUGGCCAACAUUCAGUACUGGUAGUAUUGAUGUCUCGGCCUUUCUUUUAAACAAGUUUUUGUGGUCAGAAGUUGGCGCUGAGCUUCAAGAGGCUCUUCUCCAUGUUGCUUCUUCAGAUGUCUCUGGAAACUUACUGGUUUCUAUUUUCUCAAUAAAUCUGUGUUGUUUGAAUAAUAAUCUGUGUUU